rnacentral:tRNA from 1 species
UGCGGGGUGACUGGAGCGGUUCCAGGCGUGGCUCAUAACCACUGACAGGCGGGUUCGACUCCCGCCCCCGCGACCA